UACGUAGGCAGCAAGCGUUGUUCGGAAUUACUGGGCGUAAAGCGCACGUAGGCGGCUUUGUAAGUUAGAGGUGAAAGCCCGGGGCUCAACUCCGGAACUGCCUUUAAGACUGCAUCGCUUGAACAUCGGAGAGGUAAGUGGAAUUCCGAGUGUAGAGGUGAAAUUCGUAGAUAUUCGGAAGAACACCAGUGGCGAAGGCGACUUACUGGACGAUUGUUGACGCUGAGGUGCGAAAGCGUGGGGAGCAAACAGG
rnacentral:rRNA from 1 species